GACAGAGGGUGCAAACGUUGUUCGGAAUUACUGGGCGUAAAGCGUGUGUAGGCGGCUUUGCAAGUCGGAUGUGAAAGCCCCGGGCUCAACCCGGGAAGUGCACUCGAUACUGCAGAGCUUGAGUGUCGGAGAGGUUGGUGGAAUUCUCGGUGUAGAGGUGAAAUUCGUAGAUAUCGAGAGGAACACCGGCGGCGAAGGCGGCCAACUGGACGACUACUGACGCUGAGACACGAAAGCGUGGGGAGCAAACGGG
rnacentral:rRNA from 1 species